rnacentral:piRNA from 1 species
UUUGAAAAAAUCAUGACGUUU